rnacentral:pre_miRNA from 1 species
AGGAGGAACAACCACAGUGGCAGCGGCCAGCUCUGGAGCCCUGGAUUCAGCUCCCGCAGUAACUACAGAGCUGUCUGUCUGCAGUGGUGUGGAUGCUCCAGGGGCGG